UACUCCUAGGACCCAGUCCCUUUGCCCUGCAACCAGACAUCCCUCUCAUCUGCUUGGGACUCUCCACCUCACUGAGCCUUUGUCAUGUGUGAGGAUAGAUGAAUGGAUGGAUGGAUGAGUAAGUAAGUAGAUGAAUGGGUGGAUGAAUGGAUGGGUGGAUGAGCAGAUGAAUGGAUGGAUGGAUGGCUGGAUGGAUGAGUGGAUGAAUGGGUAGAUGGAUGGAUGAGUGAAUGGAUGGGUGGAUGGGUGGAUGGAUAGAUAACUGAGUGGGCAAAUGGAUAGAUGGGUGGAUGGGUGGAUGGAUGGAUGAAUGGAUGAGUGGAUGAAUGGGUAGAUGGAUGGAUGAGUGAAUGGAUAGGUGGAUGGGUGGGUGGAUAGAUAACUGAGUGGGAAAAUGGAUAGAUAGGUGGAUGGGUGGAUGGAUGGAUGGAUGGAUGGUGGGUGGAUGGGUGGGUAGAUGGAUGGAUGGAUGGAUGGAUAGUGGGUGGAUGGGUGGGUAGAUAGAUGGAUGAGUGGAUGGGUGGAUGGAUGAAUCAUGGGUGGAUGGGUGGGUAGAUCGAUGGAUGGAUGGUGGGUGGAUGGAUGGAUGGAUGGAUGGUGGGUCGAUGGGUGGGUAGAUGGAUGGAUGGUGGGUGGAUGGAUGGAUGGAUGGAUGGAUAGGGUAAAUGAUGCCCUGGAAAGGCUGGGUCUGGGGCCUCAGGGGGACCACUUGCCUUCUCUCCACCUGCUGCUCAGAACUGCAGACUUGUGACAUCACCUCUACAAAUCCUCUGUUGGAGGCCUUGGUUCUUAUGAUCCGUGGGCUAGUCCCUGAGCCCCUCAAGCAGGGCCAGAGUGGCAAACUAAAAAACCAGAUCUGACAAAGGAUAAAGAUAGAAGGAAGGAGAAACUGGGGGUAGGGGUUGGUGGUGGGGGCAGGACAGCCCAGAACAAAGGGCUGGGAAGGCAGAGAAAGUAGUAGGUGGAGGAGAAGGGAAGGAGGGCAGGAGAGGGAGGCAAAACAGAAGCUGAAGGCAGACAGGGGGACUUGAUCAAAGGAGAGGCAAAUAGGGCAAUCACCCGCUCCCUGUGUCCCUCUCAGGACUUUAAUGAGCCUGCGCGUGGGUAAGAGCUCCACUUGGCUGACUUUCAAAGCCCUUCCUCUCCAUUAGCACAUCUCAGUCUCACAACAUCUUUGUGGGUCGGUUUUAUUAUUAUCCUCCCACCAGCAUGGCCCCGAGGAAGGAAGACGUCAGAAGCAGCUGGCCUGGGCUCAGAUUCCAGGCCUCACUCCUGGCUGGGGGACCCUGGCAGUUGUGUGGCCCCUGAGUCUCAUCUUCCUUGCCUGUGAAAUGGGGGGUGACAAUGAUGCCGUCUGGCAGGAAUGUCACGAGAAGCAAACAAGAGCAUGUGAGAGGGUCUGGUACCCAGGCAGGGCUGCCCAUCCUCUGUCCUCCCUUCUUCCUCACUGAGCUUGGGUGCAGGCAGAUGUGUGUGUGCCUGCACAUCCGAACUGCCAGGAGGCUUCGGCGUGGCCCAGUGCCUGGGCCUGCCCCCACAGACUCUGGUUCCAUUGAUGUGGAGUAGGGCCUUGAUAUCAGGACUUUGUAAAACUCCCCAGGAGAUUCUCGUGUGCAGCCAGAAUUGGGAGGCUCUGGUCUAAGUAUGUACACGUGGGUAAGACAGGAACUCUACCAGGAGACCCAAAGAACUAGUCCCAUGGACGGUCUCUGGGGAGAGCAGCCAGUGGCCAGGGCCCGAGGCGGGCAGUGUGGGAAGGAGGAAGAUGUUUCUCUGGAUACCCUUGGGCCUUGUGAAUUGAAUUUUGUUCCAUCUGCACGUAUGACCUAUCCAAAGAGUAAAUUUGAAUGUUUAUAAUCAGAAGCAAAUGGGGCCGGGUACAGUGGCUCAUGCUUGUAAUCCCAGUACUUUGGGAGGCCAAGGCGGGUGGAUCACUUGAGGUCAAGAGUUCGAGACCAGCCUGGCCAACAUGGCAAAACCCCAUCUCUAGUAAAAAAUACAAAAAUUAGCCGAGUGUGGUGGCACAUGCCUGUAGUCCCCAGUACUCGGGAGGCUGAGGCAGGAGAAUCACUUGAAUCCAGGAGGUGGAGGCUGCAGUGAGCCGAGAUCUCACCACUGCACUCCAGCCUGGGUGAUACAGCGAGACUCCAUCUCAAAAAAUAAUAAGAAUAAGAAUAAGCAAAUGGGAUUAAAUUCAGCUCAACUCACUCCCAAGAUUGGCAGGAAGUCCUUGAUAGAAGUAUUUUCAGGCCAG
rnacentral:lncRNA from 1 species